CUAAACAUCAGUACCUCUUCGAGAGGUAUUGGUGCUGAAGGGAAGCCGAAGAGUGUGCUACCUGGGAAGUAUAGUCGCAAGGCCGAAACUUAAAGGAAUUGGCGGGGAGACACUACAACGGGUGACGCGUACGGUUCAAUUAGAUUACACACCGUGAACCUCACCAGGAGCGACAGCAGAAUGAAGGUCAGUCUGAAGGGCUUACCUGACACGCUGAGAGGAACUGCAUGGCCAACGUCAGCCUGUGUCGUGAGAUGACCUGUUAAAUCAGGUAACAGGCAAGACCCACACCUAUAUUUGCUACUUGCACCAUAUAGGGAUUGCCUUGGAAACAAGGAUGAAAGUGUGGGCUACGUUAGGUGAGUACAGUCCGAAUCCCCUGGGCUACACGUGCGCGUCAACGCUGAAUACAACGAGAUGCGAUGCCGAAAGGUAAAGCCAAUCUCUUAAAGUUCAGCUCAGUUUAGAUUGAGGUUUGCAACCCAGCCUCAUGACAAUGGAAUCCGUAGUAAUCGUUUGUUAGCAGCGAACGGUGAAUAUGUCACUGUCUCUUGCACACACUGCCCGUCAAACCAACCGAGUUAUGUUGGGAUGAAACUCAUUAGAGGAGAGCUCUGAUAUGACAAGGUAGGUUAAGUCGUAACAAGGUAGCC
rnacentral:rRNA from 1 species